rnacentral:rRNA from 2 species
AUCCGGGUUGCGGACAGUGUCUGGUGGGUAGUUUGACUGGGGCGGUCUCCUCCUAAAGAGUAACGGAGGAGCACGAAGGUUGGCUAAUCCUGGUCGGACAUCAGGAGGUUAGUGCAAUGGCAUAAGCCAGCUUGACUGCGAGCGUGACGGCGCGAGCAGGUGCGAAAGCAGGUCAUAGUGAUCCGGUGGUUCUGAAUGGAAGGGCCAUCGCUCAACGGAUAAAAGGUACUCCGGGGAUAACAGGCUGAUACCGCCCAAGAGUUCAUAUCGACGGCGGUGUUUGGCACCUCGAUGUCGGCUCAUCACAUCCUGGGGCUGAAGUAGGUCCCAAGGGUAUGGCUGUUCGCCAUUUAAAGUGGUACGCGAGCUGGGUUUAGAACGUCGUGAGACAGUUCGGUCCCUAUCUGCCGUGGGCGCUGGAGAACUGAGGGGGGCUGCUCCUAGUACGAGAGGACCGGAGUGGACGCAUCACUGGUGUUCGGGUUGUCAUGCCAAUGGCACUGCCCGGUAGCUAAAUGCGGAAGAGAUAAGUGCUGAAAGCAUCUAAGCACGAAACUUGCCCCGAGAUGAGUUCUCCCUGACUCCUUGAGAGUCCUGAAGGAACGUUGAAGACGACGACGUUGAUAGGCCGGGUGUGUAAGCGCAGCGAUGCGUUGAGCUAACCGGUACUAAUGAACCGUGAGGCUUAACCUU